rnacentral:tRNA from 1 species
GCCGUUUUAGCUCAGUCUGGCAGAGCACCGGACUUUUAAUCCGGAGGCCGUGGGUUCAAGCCCCACAAGCGGCACCA